GCCGAGAUGGCGGAACUGGUAGACGCGCCAGACUCAAAAUCUGGUGGGGGCAACCUCGUGAGAGUUCGAUUCUCUCUCUCGGCACCA
rnacentral:tRNA from 1 species